GAUGAACGCUGGCGGCGUGCCUAAUACAUGCAAGUCGAGCGAACAGAUGAGGAGCUUGCUCCUCUGACGUUAGCGGCGGACGGGUGAGUAACACGUGGAUAACCUACCUAUAAGACUGGGAUAACUUCGGGAAACCGGAGCUAAUACCGGAUAAUAUAUUGAACCGCAUGGUUCAAUAGUGAAAAACGGUUUUGCUGUCACUUAUAGAUGGAUCCGCGCCGCAUUAGCUAGUUGGUAAGGUAACGGCUUACCAAGGCAACGAUGCGUAGCCGACCUGAGAGGGUGAUCGGCCACACUGGAACUGAGACACGGUCCAGACUCCUACGGGAGGCAGCAGUAGGGAAUCUUCCGCAAUGGGCGAAAGCCUGACGGAGCAACGCCGCGUGAGUGAUGAAGGUCUUCGGAUCGUAAAACUCUGUUAUUAGGGAAGAACAAAUGUGUAAGUAACUAUGCACGUCUUGACGGUACCUAAUCAGAAAGCCACGGCUAACUACGUG
rnacentral:rRNA from 1 species